GCGCCGGCAGUGGAGUUCUCGGAACUCAUGGCGUGGACGGACGGAUCUGAUGGAUCCAGUGGCCGCAAUUCUAAUUCAUUGUUUUGAUAGUU